GACGAACGCUGGCGGCGUGCCUAAUACAUGCAAGUAGAACGCUGAAGGAGGAGCUUGCUUCUCCGGAUGAGUUGCGAACGGGUGAGUAACGCGUAGGUAACCUGCCUGGUAGCGGGGGAUAACUAUUGGAAACGAUAGCUAAUACCGCAUAACAGUAGAUAUUGCAUGAUAUCUGCUUGAAAGGUGCAAUUGCAUCACUACCAGAUGGACCUGCGUUGUAUUAGCUAGUUGGUGAGGUAACGGCUCACCAAGGCAACGAUACAUAGCCGACCUGAGAGGGUGAUCGGCCACACUGGGACUGAGACACGGCCCAGACUCCUACGGGAGGCAGCAGUAGGGAAUCUUCGGCAAUGGACGGAAGUCUGACCGAGCAACGCCGCGUGAGUGAAGAAGGUUUUCGGAUCGUAAAGCUCUGUUGUAAGAGAAGAACGAGUGUGAGAGUGGAAAGUUCACAC
rnacentral:rRNA from 1 species